CUCUUCAGAAGUUAAUGUUCAUCAGUUGGCACAUAGGUCAUUCUUCCAUGGGUGUCGGGUGUUCUCAUCUGGUAUUUAUGGAACCUUCAACAAGUGGAAAUUACAGCCAAAUAGUGGGAAUUCCUGUGGAGUUUCGAAGGGUAUGAGUUAUGGUGCUAGGUUGAUCCAUUGCACAGGGCCAGCAUUUAUGACGAGAGAUUACUAUGAUGUGCUUGGAGUAAGAAAAAAUGCAUCUGCUUCAGAAAUCAAGAAGGCGUAUUAUGCUGUAGGUAACUCCUUUUGUCAUUCUUCUAUUUCGUCUGCUAU